AAUGAACGCUGGCGGCGUGGAUUAGGCAUGCAAGUCGAACGCGAAAGUUCCCUUCGGGGAGCGAGUAGAGUGGCGAAAGGGUGAGUAAUGCUUGGAUGACCUGCCCUCGAGACGGGGACAACAGUUCGAAAGGACUGCUAAUACCCGAUAGUCCGGUUUAGAUGCGUCUAGAUCGGUAAAUGGUGCUUCCGCUCGAGAGGGGUUCAAGUCCUAUCAGCUUGUGGUGAGGUAACGGCUCACCAAGGCGAUGACGGGUAGCCGAACUGAGAGGUUGCCGGCCACAUGGGAACUGAGACACUGUCCUGACU
rnacentral:rRNA from 1 species